GUCAUGGCCGCACCCAUACUCCAAUGACACGGAAGCCACCAUCAAAGUGCAGCAGUUCCAUACAGCCACGCAAGGCCUGCGGAAUGUGUUACAGUGAAAACCCAAGACUGUCUUAUAUUGCUAGGGCAUUUAUUUACUUAUGAUCUAGUUCUUCCCAUUGAAAACAGACUACAGGAGUGAUGAUUUGGAGAACACAGUUUAUCAUCAAAGAUGCAGCUCGAGUCUCCAAAGAAGGCUCAGCCAUCCAUCACCAUGGGCAAAAUUAUAGUAAACGACAUCAAGGAUGAACUGCUCGCUGUGUAAGUGUUUGUUUAUGGAUGAGAACUUUUCUGCACUGGCUACCUUUGCAUGAAUUCUGUCCUUCAUGAGGAAUUGUACGGUCAGCAUUAGAAGAGUCUUGUGUGAAGAGCUGAC